rnacentral:pre_miRNA from 1 species
GUGUUUGCAGAUGCGGCAUCUUCAAGAUUCACAAACUUUAGUAAGGGCUGCUUUUGGAUCAGGCCAUGGGGGAGAGGGUUAGUUAGUACCCAAUUAUAAUUAAUCAUCCUCCUUUAUUCGAAAGUUGCCUUUGAGAAUGGGAAUCUUGAUGAUGCUGCAUCAGCAUAACA